rnacentral:rRNA from 1 species
AUGGCAAGAAAUGAUUUCGGAUUUGGUUCUUUGAUCAUAGAUAUCAAGCUUGAUGGUUCAAACUACAGGGAAUGGGCAUUUUCUGCCCGGACUGUCUUGAGGACGGCUGGUUUUGUUUCUCAUCUGACAGAUGAUCCACCUAGUCCAAAUGAUGAUGCAGCAAGGAAGUCUUGGCAAAAGAUCGAUGAUCGUGUGAUGGGAGUUUUAAUUCUGGGUGUUGAACCCUCACUCCGAAUGAGUCUUGAGCAUCACACUUCAGCUAAAGAGAUAUGGAAGUACUUUGAGCAGCGCUACCUUCAGCCCAGCAGUGCACUUCAUUUCUCCUUGUUGCAGAAUUUACACAACACUCGGCAGCCAGAAGACAUGUCCAUAGAAGAGUACUAUGGAGCUUUCACUCGCAUCACUGGGCAGCUAGGUUCCAUGGUUCCAAAGGGUAAUUCUGGUUGUGAGUCAUGUGCAGCAAAGGAAAAGUAUGACCAUCAGACUCUCAUGUUUCAGUUUGUGAUGGGUCUCAAGCCAGACUUUGAGAACAUUCGCACUCAAUUGCUUGGUCGUACGACUCCUCCCACCUUGACAGAGGCACUUGCUAGCUUGAUCGCUGAGGAGACUCGUCUCCAUUCUCUUGGGGCUACUUCUGCGCAGACUCUACACACUAGUGUUCUGGCUUUUCCUCAGCGGCCAGGUGCCUACCUUCAACUGUCGUCUGCUCGUUCUGCAAGAAGGCAGGACACCACAGAGAUGGUUGUUUCAAGCUUCAUCCAGAGCUGUUAG